UACAGAGGGGGCGAGCGUUGUUCGGAAUUACUGGGCGUAAAGGGCGCGUAGGCGGCCUUCUAAGUCGAACGCGAAAUCCCCGGGCUCAACCCGGGAACUGCGUCCGAUACUGGGAGGCUUGAAUCCGGGAGAGGGAUGUGGAAUUCCAGGUGUAGCGGUGAAAUGCGUAGAUAUCUGGAGGAACACCGGUGGCGAAGGCGGCAUCCUGGACCGGUAUUGACGCUGAGGCGCGAAAGCCAGGGGAGCAAACGGG
rnacentral:rRNA from 1 species